GCAGCCGCAACAGCACCGACGACAGCUGCCUAGCGAAAAGCAGAAGUUAGUUUGGACUUGGGGCGGGGGGAGGAGAAAAAAAACACCCCACAAUAGGAAGGGGGGGGGAUUCCUGCCUGCCCCAAACAGCCCUGAUUGGUCGAGAUGGGCUUCCCAGGAGGGGGAAAAAUGCGUUGAUCCUCUCCGCAUAAAAUACCCGGGAAGGAGCGGAGCAGAACGGUCCGGAGCGCAGCUUUUGCGCGCGCGGGGGGCGGCGGGCCGGUCAGACGGCUGUGUGGUCCCUGCAAAGCGAGGCCUCGCCCGGCCGUUGCUGACUUUUGGGACCGUCCAGCAGAGCCAAGCGAGACCACCUGCCUCCUGAAGCCGGCCAGAGGCCAACGACCUGCCUCGGGCUCACGUCCAGGAGGUGGAGGCUCUUGGCAACUGGAACUUAGAGGCAAGCUUCCCCCAACCGGAAAGUAACACGGAGUCCUCAAGGUUAACAGACUUUAUGAAAUGUGUCUGUCAUGAAUUUGUCCUCCUUCUAUGUGGCCAUUCAUGUUUGCCGGUCAUCAUCACAUCCUGCGGUAAGGAAUCCUGCCGCUUAAUGACACACUGUGUGAAGAUAAAGGUCUGAACCUUGAAAAGCAAGAUCUGAGUCUUCAGAAGAACGCGAAUACAAGCUGCUGAGACUUUGAGGUGGAUUUAUUGACUUUCAUUGGGGUUUGUCUACUUGCAGGAUUUAAGUGUGCAAUGUUACUGUCACUGAAAUGAUCUUUCCACCCUUGCUGUGUCGUGCAUGUUGCUGCCCUCUGUGGGGUUAGCAGCGUGCAGCCGUGUCUCUCCAGCCAUAGAAUUUACCUCCUAUUUUGCUUUCAAUCAGUUAUCAGCUUCUGCACAGGCUUAAGAAUGGGCAACGGAAUCCCAAAAGCAGCUGUUUUGCUCUAAUUUCCAGCUGCACUUGGAUUCCGUUCCUUGCUCUUUUGCCCACUUCUCCAAGAUUUCAUUCAUUCUCUCCUGUAACUUAUGGUGUAGUGAACUAUUUGGGGAGCCACUGGAAGAAACAAUUUAAAAAAUAAAUAAAGCACAAAGACUCCAUUCUAUUCAACAAUGAGAACUAAAAACUUUUUAUUUUUAAACGAUAGGCAAUAAAUUCAACAUACACCAAAAAAGUCUGAGCUGACUAUCCACCAAGAGUUACGGAUGCCAUAGGAUUAUUUUUUCAGUGGUAACAAAUUAGACCUUGAUUUAAAGAGACUGGUAGUUCUUAAAUCAGCUAAAUAUCAAGGAGGAAGUAAAUGUUGGGUAGAAGCAUGAAACAAUACUAAUAACAAGUUUUUCUCCUGGUUGAUUCAAUCUUGGGAACAAUCUGAAAGGUGAAUUUUGCAGCUGUUCCUUCAUGAGUUGUGCAGUCAACUUAAGGAAUUAAGUUCAAAGCUGUUGCUAUUGAGGGUGGCCUUCCCUACAUGUGUUAGCACCGCAAUUCUUAGCUAUUUGGAGAGAAGAUGAUCUUUGUCAUAUAACCAAAGAGUGGACAACUAGCCAGGAUGGAGAACUUAUUUAAAAGCCAAGGCCUUGCUUGAUUGGGGUUGGCUAUCCUGUUGCACAGGGCCUUGUGGGCUUCCAGAGAGCACACCACAGUCUGUUGCUAAGUGUGGUGGUCAUGUGACAUUUAGUCUAAAGAUUGCUUUGUUUAGCAACAACAAUCCUGGCCCCAGUUAGGAUAAUUCAAUGAGGACUACUUGUACUUCCAAUGGAGUAUUAGUGAAAGAACGUCCUUUCUGUUGAAGGUGGGAACUUGUGAAAGGGAACAGGCUGAGUAUGGUACUGUUGAUAACUUGAGCUAUAGCAUUGUGUGUGUUUGUGGAGGAGGAACUCCUUUGGGUUUCCUCAUACUUUUCUGUGCAGUGGUGAUAAAAAACUGCUUCCUGGACAGAAGUCAGUAGAGCUGGGCCUGAAAAUGUUGCAGUAGGCCCAGAGUUUCCCUUUACAGAAUGGUAAGGCAAAAUGAGCAGGAUAUAUACCGAAGUAGGCACGAAUUUUCCCAAAUUCAGACAAAUAAUGAGUUUGGAAAUGGCCUGGCUGAGUGGACCCUAGUGCCUGGGAGGAUAGUAUUUAUUUUGUCUUUUCUUGGCCUUAGAAACUAAGCCAGAUCAGAUCUGGUUACUCUAAAAAAAUAGCUGGACAAGGCUAGACUCUGAAGUGGGGGGAAAAAUCUCCAAAGAAGGAAAAAAUUCUCAUUGCUACCAGGAAAACAAUGUGAAUGGGAUCGCAUAAUAAGGGGUUGGGGGGGGGGGUUUGAUUAAUUAUUUCUAGGUAAUCUCAGGAAUAAUCUUGAAAGGUGGUUUUUGCUGCAUCAGGAGGGGUCAGUCUACAUUUGGAUACCUCAGAACAUGCCCUGUGCUCAUGGUGAGGUCAAAGGAGUUCCUUCAACAUGUCUUUAUUUAUUUGCCCAAUUUCUAUAGCCUCCCUUCAUAUCACGUGACCAUUCAAAGUUAUGAUAGCCCUCCACAGGGCUAUUUACAGCCCAAUUUCAAAAUGUUGACUUCUAGUCAUGUGAUCACAUUUUGUGUGCUUGGUAACUGGGCGAAAUUUAGAGCUGUUUGCAGCACCCUGUUAUGUAAUCAUGGUUUACAGUGUUUUUGCAAGAGCUGGUGUUUUAUUUCUGCUUUCCAGCAAAAAAAAAAAAAAAAAAGUCCAUUGAGUGCAAUGGAUUUGCUUAAUGAAUCCCAGGUUCACUUAACAACUGUCACGAAAGAGGUCAUAAAAAUCAGGUGUAGUCACAUGGUGGCUCAACUACCAGCAUGAGUUAUGAUCGUAAUUCUGGGUUCAGUUACAAUCAUGAGUCCAGGGCUACCUUGUACCUCUUUCUACCUGUAUUUCCUCCCUCCAGCUUGCAUCAUAAAUAGUUAUGGGUUCUUGUUCUGGGAUAAAAAAGAUCAUGGUGCCUCUAGAUUUUGCUGAAUGACACUUCCCUGUAGGGUUGAUAAGGCAGGCUAAGGCUGCUGUGGGGAUUGACAUCUUUCUACUCCUUUUACAAAGUCAGCAGGAGAACAGCUGAGACUUCUUACCAAAAGAAGUUUUUUUUUUCAGACUUAAGACACUGUUGUCAUUAAAUCACAUUAAUGACAAAGUAUGUGCUUCAGAUUAGCCUUGUUGAGUUUGUUGUUCUCCAAAUGGAUUGAAUGCUAUCUUCCUGACUGUAAAAUAAGGUCUGAUACCUCUGGAGGAUAUUAAGUUGGGGUAAGUAGCCUCAAAGCCCACUUUUUUUUUUUUUUGAGUGGAUGAUUUGUUGGGCUUGUCAAGUCAAUUUACAAGAGACAUCAUUGCAAUGGAUCCAGGAUGUUUUUUCAGUAUCUGCCUCUUUAUUUGACAUAUUUCACUAGUGUUGCUUCUUUUCUUAGGAAUAGGUAGACAAGGCAAAAAGCAGGAAGAGGGAUGCAUGCAUGUGGGAACACCUCCAUCGUGGAUCAGAUUCCUAGAUGCUCAGGUCUGGAGGAAGAUUUCGGGAGGAGAAAUUGCCAAGGAAUGACACGAUCACUCCCGCUGAGCGAGUGGACACAGAGCCACGGGGCUGUCGUGUCUGUCCUGAGCUUUUUCCAAGAUCCCGGAUGAGCACAUGAAAGGGGCUGGAAGCAUCUGCAGUUGUGUGAUGCUAUUUGUGUCUGGUCUCUCAUUUGCAGUAGAAUAACUGGGAAGAAAGAGAUUGUGUUCAGACAAUAUUCAGUUAGUUAAUCCAGUUGCUUGUUUGUAUACUACCCUGAACCAUACACCAAUAAAUUGCAUUUUA